GACGAACGCUUUCUUCGUGCUUAACACAUGCAAGUCGAACGGAAAGGCCCUGCUUUUGUGGGGUGCUCGAGUGGCGAACGGGUGAGUAACACGUGAGUAACCUGCCCUUGACUUUGGGAUAACUUCAGGAAACUGGGGCUAAUACCGGAUAGGAGCUCCUGCUGCAUGGUGGGGGUUGGAAAGUUUCGGCGGUUGGGGAUGGACUCGCGGCUUAUCAGCUUGUUGGUGGGGUAGUGGCUUACCAAGGCUUUGACGGGUAGCCGGCCUGAGAGGGUGACCGGCCACAUUGGGACUGAGAUACGGCCCAGACUCCUACGGGAGGCAGCAGUGGGGAAUAUUGCACAAUGGGCGGAAGCCUGAGGCAGCAACGCCGCGUGCGGGAUGACGGCCUUCGGGUUGUAAACCGCUUUCGCCUGUGACGAAGCGUGAGGGACGGUAAUGGGUAAAGAAGCACCGGCUAACUACGU
rnacentral:rRNA from 1 species